AGAGUUUGAUCAUGGCUCAGAACGAACGCUGGCGGCAGGCUUAACACAUGCAAGUCGAACGCAUCCUUCGGGGUGAGUGGCAGACGGGUGAGUAACGCGUGGGAACGUGCCCUUCAGUUCGGGAUAACCCAGGGAAACUUGGGCUAAUACCGGAUACGUGCGAGAGCAGAAAGAUUUAUCGCUGAAGGAUCGGCCCGCGUCUGAUUAGCUGGUUGGUAGGGUAAUGGCCUACCAAGGCGACGAUCAGUAGCUGGUCUGAGAGGAUGAUCAGCCACAUUGGGACUGAGACACGGCCCAAACUCCUACGGGAGGCAGCAGUGGGGAAUAUUGGACAAUGGGCGCAAGCCUGAUCCAGCCAUGCCGCGUGAGUGAUGAAGGCCUUAGGGUUGUAAAGCUCUUUCGUCCGGGACGAUAAUGACGGUACCGGAAGAAGAAGCCCCGGCUAACUUCGUGCCAGCAGCCGCGGUAAUACGAAGGGGGCUAGCGUUGUUCGGAAUCACUGGGCGUAAAGGGCGCGUAGGCGGCUUUGUAAGUCGGGGGUGAAAGCCUGUGGCUCAACCACAGAAUUGCCUUCGAUACUGCAUGGCUUGAGACCGGAAGAGGUAAGUGGAACUGCGAGUGUAGAGGUGAAAUUCGUAGAUAUUCGCAAGAACACCAGUGGCGAAGGCGGCUUACUGGACCGGUUCUGACGCUGAGGCGCGAAA
rnacentral:rRNA from 1 species